rfam:Arabis alpina cultivar Pajares chromosome 2, whole genome shotgun sequence.
AAUCCGUGAUGAGGGCAAUCUCUUAGGUACUCCUUAAAGCAUUCCCAAGCAUCAUGGAAACUCUAUAAAGGUCCUUGUUGGAAUCCUUGUAUAUUUUUCCUUAAAAG